AUGAACGCUGGCGGCGUGCCUAAUACCUGCAAGUCGCGCGAACAGACGAGGAGCUUGCUCCUCUGACGUUAGCGGCGGACGGGUGAGUAACACGUGGAUAACCUACCUAUAAGACUGGGAUAACUUCGGGAAACCGGAGCUAAUACCGGAUAAUAUAUUGAACCGCAUGGUUCAAUAGUGAAAGACGGUUUUGCUGUCACUUAUAGAUGGAUCCGCGCCGCAUUAGCUAGUUGGUAAGGUAACGGCUUACCAAGGCAACGAUGCGUAGCCGACCUGAGAGGGUGAUCGGCCACACUGGAACUGAGACACGGUCCAGACUCCUACGGGAGGCAGCAGUAGGGAAUCUUCCGCAAUGGGCGAAAGCCUGACGGAGCAACGCCGCAUGAGUGAUGAAGGUCUUCGGAUCGUAAAACUCUGUUAUUAGGGAAGAACAAAUGUGUAAGUAACUAUGCACGUCUUGACGGUACCUAAUCAGAAAGCCACGGCUAACUACGUG
rnacentral:rRNA from 1 species